rnacentral:rRNA from 1 species
GUGGGGAAUAUUCCACAAUGGACGAAAGUCUGACGGAGCAACGCCGCGUGAGUGAUGAAGGUUUUCGGACUGUAAAGCUCUGUUGUUUAGGACGAAAGUGCCUGUUGCAAAUAGUUACAGGUAUUGACGGUACUGAACGAGGAAGCCACGGCUAACUACGUGCCAGCAGCCGCGGUAAUACGUAGGUGGCAAGCGUUGUCCGGAAUUAUUGGGCGUAAAGAGCAUGUAGGCGGGAAUCUAAGUCUGUUGUGAAAAUGCGGGGCUCAACCCCGUAUUGCGAUGGAAACUGGGUUUCUUGAGUGCAGGAGAGGAAAGGGGAAUUCCCAGUGUAGCGGUGAAAUGCGUAGAUAUUGGGAGGAACACCAGUGGCGAAGGCGCCUUUCUGGACUGUGUCUGACGCUGAGAUGCGAAAGCCAGGGUAGCGAACGGGAUUAGAAACCCCUGUAGUCC